rnacentral:misc_RNA from 1 species
GAUGAAGAACGUAGCGAAAUGCGAUAAGUAAUGUGAAUUGCAGAAUUCAGUGAAUCAUCGAAUCUUUGAACGCACAUUGCGCCCGCUAGUAUUCUGGCGGGCAUGCCUGUCCGAGCGUCAUUUCAACCCUCAAGCCCCCGGGCUUGGUGUUGGGGAUCGGCGAGCCUCCGCGCCCGCCGUCCCCUAAAUCUAGUGGCGGUCUCGCUGUAGCUUCCUCUGCGUAGUAGCACACCUCGCACUGGGAAACAGCGCGGCCACGCCGUUAAACCCCCAACUUCUGAACGUUUGACCUCGGAUCAGGUAGGAGUACCCGCUGAACUUAAGCAUAUCAAUAAGCGGAGGA